rnacentral:rRNA from 1 species
AUGUUAGAUACAUCGGGUUUAUCCAAGGCAUGGUGGGGGGAGGCUGUAUUGAAAUCUUGUCAUGUCCUGAAUAAAGUUCCCACAAAGGAUAAUGAGAUUACUCCCUAUGAGCAAUGGGAAAAGAAAAGAAUUACACUCUCUUACUUGCGCACUUGGGGCUGUUUGGCGAAAGUCAAUGUGCCGAUAAUCAAAAAGCACAAGUUGGGACCAAAGACCGUGGACUGUGUUUUUCUUGGCUAUGCCAAGCAUAGCGUUGGAUAUAGAUUUCUAGUGGUGAAAUCUGAGGUACCUGACCAGAAGGCGAUACAAUUAUAG